rnacentral:rRNA from 1 species
UACGUAGGGUGCAAGCGUUAAUCGGAAUUACUGGGCGUAAAGCGUGCGCAGGCGGUUUUGCAAGUCAGAUGUGAAAUCCCCGGGCUUAACCUGGGAACUGCGUUUGAAACUACAAGGCUAGAGUGUGGCAGAGGGGGGUGGAAUUCCACGUGUAGCAGUGAAAUGCGUAGAGAUGUGGAGGAACACCGAUGGCGAAGGCAGCCCCCUGGGUUAACACUGACGCUCAGGCACGAAAGCGUGGGGAGCAAACAGG